GACGUAGGUGACAAGCGUUGUCCGGAUUUACUGGGCGUAAAGAGCGCGCAGGCGGUCGAUCAAGUCGAGUGUGAAAGCCCCCGGCUCAACUGGGGAGGGUCAUUCGAUACUGAUCGACUCGAAGGCAGGAGAGGGUAGUGGAAUUCCCGGUGUAGUGGUGAAAUGCGUAGAUAUCGGGAGGAACACCAGUGGCGAAGGCGACUACCUGGCCUGUUCUUGACGCUGAGGCGCGAAAGCUAGGGGAGCAAACGGG
rnacentral:rRNA from 1 species